UAGGGAAUCUUCGGCAAUGGGGGCAACCCUGACCGAGCAACGCCGCGUGAGUGAAGAAGGUUUUCGGAUCGUAAAGCUCUGUUGUAAGAGAAGAACGUGUGUGAGAGUGGAAAGUUCACACAGUGACGGUAACUUACCAGAAAGGGACGGCUAACUACGUGCCAGCAGCCGCGGUAAUACGUAGGUCCCGAGCGUUGUCCGGAUUUAUUGGGCGUAAAGCGAGCGCAGGCGGUUUAAUAAGUCUGAAGUUAAAGGCAGUGGCUUAACCAUUGUUCGCUUUGGAAACUGUUAAACUUGAGUGCAGAAGGGGAGAGUGGAAUUCCAUGUGUAGCGGUGAAAUGCGUAGAUAUAUGCAGGAACACCGGUGGCGAAAGCGGCUCUCUGGUCUGUAACUGACGCUGAGGCUCGAAAGCGUGGGGAGCAAACAGG
rnacentral:rRNA from 1 species